rnacentral:rRNA from 1 species
GACGAACGCUGGCGGCGUGCUUAACACAUGCAAGUCGAACGGAAAGGCCCUGCUUUUGUGGGGUGCUCGAGUGGCGAACGGGUGAGUAACACGUGAGUAACCUGCCCUUGACUUUGGGAUAACUUCAGGAAACUGGGGCUAAUACCGGAUAGGAGCUCCUGCUGCAUGGUGGGGGUUGGAAAGUUUCGGCGGUUGGGGAUGGACUCGCGGCUUAUCAGCUUGUUGGUGGGGUAGUGGCUUACCAAGGCUUUGACGGGUAGCCGGCCUGAGAGGGUGACCGGCCACAUUGGGACUGAGAUACGGCCCAGAAUCCUACGGGAGGCAGCAGUGGGGAAUAUUGCACAAUGGGCGGAAGCCUGAUGCAGCAACGCCGCGUGCGGGAUGACGGCCUUCGGGUUGUAAACCGCUUUCGCCUGUGACGAGGCGUGAGUGACGGUAAUGGGUAAAGAAGCACCGGCUAACUACGUG